UUGAACGCUGGCGGCAUGCCUUACACAUGCAAGUCGAACGGCAGCACGGACUUCGGUCUGGUGGCGAGUGGCGAACGGGUGAGUAAUGCAUCGGAACGUGCCAUUGAGUGGGGAUAACGUAGCGAAAGUUGCGCUAAUACCGCAUAUUCUGUGAGCAGGAAAGCAGGGGACCGCAAGGCCUUGCGCUCUUUGAGCGGCCGAUGUCAGAUUAGCUAGUUGGUGAGGUAAAGGCUUACCAAGGCGACGAUCUGUAGCGGGUCUGAGAGGAUGAUCCGCCACACUGGAACUGAGACACGGUCCAGACUCCUACGGGAGGCAGCAGUGGGGAAUUUUGGACAAUGGGGGCAACCCUGAUCCAGCCAUGCCGCGUGAGUGAAGAAGGCCUUCGGGUUGUAAAGCUCUUUCGGCCGGGAAGAAAUCGCAUGGGCCAAUACCCUGUGUGGAUGACGGUACCGGAAUAAGAAGCACCGGCUAACUACGUG
rnacentral:rRNA from 1 species